rnacentral:rRNA from 1 species
UACAGAGGUCCCAAGCGUUGUUCGGAUUCACUGGGCGUAAAGGGUGCGUAGGUGGUUGGGUAAGUUUGGCGUGAAAUCUCCGAGCUCAACUCGGAAACUGCGCUGAAUACUAUCUAACUCGAGGAAUGGAGGGGAGACUGGAAUACUUGGUGUAGCAGUGAAAUGCGUAGAUAUCAAGUGGAACACCAGUGGCGAAGGCGAGUCUCUGGACAUUUCCUGACACUGAGGCACGAAAGCCAGGGGAGCAAACGGG